GUUUCCAUGUGGUAUUUGCCUCUUGAUUAAUAGUUUUGUUUGCAAGAUCUUGUUCCUUUGUCUUUUGUUUCUUCAUGGAAUGGAAGAGGCAACAAAAUACGUUGACAAAUAAAAAUUCCACAAAAACUUCAAUGUGUGUUUGGACACGAAUGCUAUGCCACGAAAUGGAAGCAGCUAUAGCUAUGAAGUAGCCAUAAGCUUGUAAUGUUCCGAAAUAAGCAUGAGAUGAAUAUGUUAGUCAAAAGAACUCUGGUUGAUUCCUAUUCCAAGUCCUGUGAUUCAUGUCGCUUACGUCGGGGCGAUCUUGCUUAUCAUAUUCUCUUUAUCCUCUCUAAACUGAACUUCCAUAACAUUGAAUUUAGCUGAAGUUUGGUGAUGGCAUGUGAGUGGAAAAGAGAUAACUUAGCUUGAGCGUGUUUGAAGAGUAGACCUACCAUGUUUAUGCAUCUUCUUCUGGUUCAAAUGUCUAUGAACUCAAGAUGCCUGCAAAAUGUUUCGCAUAAAAGUUCUGAACUUUUUCUUGAUUAUAUGUGAACGAUUCCUUCAAUUUUCACUGGCAAUUGUAAUCAUGUCAUGCGUAUUGCUACACAGUGGUAGAUGUGGUGCUUCUACAAAGGUUUGGCGUUGGCAAUUACGAAAUAUUUGAGCUUAACAUACUAUAUAGUUUGCAUUUUAUGUAUAGAAUGAAGGGAUUAUCUAUCUAGAUAUGUUAGAGGUAGAGCAACUUAUGGCUGGAGCCUUGGCACAACAGCAAGUUGCUCCAAUUUAAUAGGGAGGUCAAAAGUUAGGGUCAUUUAAUAGCCUCUCUGUUACGCAGAUGCAAGACUGCAUACAUAUGACUCUGGCCAGACUUCAAUAUGUGAACUCAUGCAUUAGGAGAUGUGAAACUAGUUCCUUCAGAAAGCAGAACAGAGGGCAGAAUGGCAUGAACAUUAGGUUUAGAGGUUUAUGAUCCCGUUCUUACUGUUGUUAAUGCUGUUAGCCUAAUUAAAACAAAUGGGAACUCUACACCCAUGAGCAUGAGCAAGUUUGUUACAGCAACUAUCUUCUGAUCUGCUUGAAAAAAGUAACUGGACUUGCACCAGGAAAGCUGAUUA